UUCUCUAUGUUCUUCUGAGGGUAGAGUUAAAGGCCUCAGGCAGCUUUGCGACAGACAUUAGAGAGGAGGAGCGCUUUGGCCGGAAGUGUCAAAAACAGGGCCGGCUUCUAGUAGUCGUUUCUGCCGAGUUUCCCCAGUUGCCGGUGUGUCGCCAGUGGCGCUUGAGAGGUGUCGAUGGCGGCUGCUCGUGGCUGAGCUGAGGUAGGCCUGGCGAGGCGAGCUUGCCUGAAGAGCUGCUUGGGCAGGUGCCGGUGCCGGUGGCGCGGAGCAGUCGGCGUGCAGCACAAGGGGCUGGUGCGUCCUUUCAUCAAGGAGAGCGGCGCAGAGGCUUGCCCCAUUUUGUGGUGGCGCCCCCAUGACCUCCCUGCUGCGAUAGGUGCUUUUAACACUGAAGAUCGCUAUGGUUUCUGCUGCUGUAUCGACUAUUUCUCCAUUACUGAGAAGUACCACUAAAGUUCUUCCUAUUAGUUUGUCAUUCUUACAUCUGAGACCUGUAGCACAGUGUUAUUGCACAGUGAAUGGCAAAAUGAAAUCCAAAAAAAAGCUGGAUCAUCUGGAAAGAACUGCAAAUGACUUUCGGCAGGAGAUUAUUUCUAAAGCAAAAGUGUGUGGAAUCACCAAUGAAUCUGAAACUGUUAAAAGACUCCGAUUGGCAGUCGCAGAUGAGGAGUUUACUUUUAAGGCAGGACAAUGGUAAGGUUCUUUGUUCUUGAUGUAGCAAAUGGAGGGAAAACUCAUAAGUGCAAGCCUAAAUUGAUGAUACAUUUACGCAGUUAAAUCCAAGUAGCCCAUUUCUGUGAUAUUUCAUGGUGUGAAGGUUUUUCCUCUAGUCAGCUUUGUAUGAAACAAUUAGUAAAACUGAUAUGGAAAUAUGUCCAGUUUUUCUUUGUAUGGAAAUACCAUAAACCUCAGUUGUAACUACCUUUGAUUACCAUUCUUGUUUUGCUUUGUGCUAUAUUUUUCUUGAGAGGGUCAUACAUAAGAAUCCCUUACCCGUAGUCCAGUCUUCAAAGCAUUGUCUGCAGGUGAUUAAAGUAGUUUUAUGUUUGUUACCAGCUGUAUGGCAAAAGGAUAAUUUGAUAUCCUCACUCCACUGUACCACAUACCUAUUUCCAGGCAAACAUAAACUUUUCAACUGUGUAUCAUAUAGCAAACCUAUUUUGAAACUUUUGGGGCAUUCAAAAGCCAGGUUGUGAUACGAUGUUUGGGAACCUGCCAUUCAAAGAAGAAAAGGUCAGUAAUUGCACAGGGAAUGCCCACAGCAUUGAGAUCUUUAUAUCCCAGCCAGUGGGUUGGAUCUAAAGGGACUCCCCUGCAUGGGGUUCUGUGCCUCUCACUAGAACAUUGUGCAAAAAAAAAGUGAAACUAAUUUCAAAGAUAUUUUACCUGUAUAGGAGCUUCUGCAACUUCCUGCCCAUGUGGAUGGAUGAGAACUGCUCUGGAACUCACCUGUCAUAGCAUUGCAUUCUCUCUUGUGCAAACAUUGGUAGUGCUUAUUUUCCUUUCUGGUCAAAUUUCAUUGAAUCCAACCUGUGGCUCUGAUCAUCUUACUGAACAUGACACAUUAGAUUUUGUUACUUUGGUGAUUGGAGAAAUAAAGGCCUUUUGUCAAUAUUCAGAUGAUGCAUUCGGGCUUAAUUGGAUUCCGGGCAUGUCAGUCUGGUUAGAUCUUCCACCCCCAUUUUUCCCCCCAUUUUCUAUUGUCAGUCCAUCUGGCAAACAGGUUUCAUAAGCAUCAGAUUUUAUCUGUUAGGAUGUUAAAAGCAUGAGUAACUUGUACUGUGUUAAUUUUGCAGUCUUUUACAUUUAGAACAAGAAAACAAGAUGUUGAUUGCCAUAAUUCAUGUUUGUGGAGCAAUUUGCAGCAGCCUUUGCACAUGUGCACAGAUGCAUACUAUAUUUGUGCUUGCUGGUUCUGGGAAAAACAUUUACCCUUCAAAAGUGUUUUCGUAAUUAUCAUACUGAAAACUGGAUUCUUUAAUUGUAAUUACUCUUUUCGUUAUCUUGGUUUUAAAGUAUUCUAAUUCCGAUUGGCAUGCUAACUUCCCACCAGUGCAGCUUGUAAAGUGUGAUUGUGUUCUAAUGAGAGGUACAAAGAAGAGAACAUAAGAGGAAAGGUUAAUAGACUCACUUUUGUAGAGAAGUGCUUAAGUUUCCCCUUCAAAUGCAAACAUGCACCCUUGUUUUCUUUUGAUUUGCACAAUAUAAAAUCAUAUGUUCACAGGGCCUGGUUGAUUUUGUUCAAGGUCUGACCACUAAGAAGAGUUAGAUGGAGCUUGGCAAAAUCUUCAUAGCUGCAGUUUUUAGAUUGUUGUAUGUUUGAGUCUCACUUGAUCAGUAGUUUGUGAAAGUGUUAUUGUGAAACCUUAAAAAAAAAAACCCUUGCUGCCUAUUUGUUCUAGAAUUGGCUUUAUUUUCUUUGUACUGCAGUUGACUAGCAGUUGCUAUCUCCAGCCCUUUUAAGGUUAAGGAAGCAGUAAGAAUGCUAAGGUUUCAUUUUGGUAAAUCAUACACAUUUUUCAAAUAUUUCCUGUAUGGAAUUUAUAAGGAACUAGGAAGAACAAAGAGACUAGACUGGUAGAUGGAACAAUGUGUAGUGGAGGUGGGGAUAUUCCUGCUUGUCAAGGCCUCAGCUGAGAGACUAAAUGAAGAUUGGUGGCCUGUGCACACUCAAGAGUAGUCCCAUUGCGAUUGGGUUACAGCGCAAUCCUUUAUAUGUCUGUUUAGAAGUAAGUCUCAUUAUUUCCUGUGGAGCAUAUUGCUAGAUAAAGUAACCAUGGCCUUUGCCUGUAGAGAUUCUCAGUUGUCCUGACAGAUGAACAGUGCACAUUUCCUGUUGACCAUCAUAUUUGAGUAAUACACUGGUUAUACCGCUUGAAAACAAGGGGAAGAGUCCAACUGCAUUAUAAAUGGAGACUUUGCUGAACAGUUUAAUGCAAAAGGUAGAUUACAGAUGGUAAGAGAGGUAGUUUUCUGUACACAGAUUCUCUUUUAAAGCAAGUAUAAUAGCCUAUGUGGAGAGUGGGUAAAGCCUACAGGCUAUCCACCAAUCAGGUAGAACUUUAUUGCAUUACUGUUCCAUCAAGUAGCCAGCACUUUGUGGUUGGUUAACAACAUAGAGCUAAGAUCAUUACAUAUAAACACUUGAAAUAUUACAUGAACAUCUUUUUAAAAAUAUCCUGAAAGGAAAGACUUUCUGGUAGUGAAUGAUAGGCAUUUUAGCAUAUGCUAUAUGGGUCCCAUUUUUUCUUUCCCCCAUCUUCUAAUCAGAUUUCUGUUCAUCUUCUGUUCAUAGCCUGUUUUAUAUAGCACAUUUGUUAUCUUUAAUUAUGAAUACAUGCAUAUAAAUAUCAUUUAUAUGCAUGUAAUUAUACACAAUAUCUAUACAUUUCUGUACAGAAUGUGUUAUAAGCUGUUGCUGAUAGCUGUAAUUAGCAAAGAGCUUCCUGAAUAAACUAGCUAGCAGGCUGGAUAUCUGGGAGCUUGCUUAAGCUUGAUAAUGCUUCACAUUUUGCACCAUCAUAAAAAGACUAGAAAAGACUAGUGAAUUCUGCUGCCUGUGCCCAGCACUGUGAGCAUAUAAUUGUAUGGGUUGAUGUAUAGAAGAAGAGCCUUUUAAGCAAGAUUCUAGCUGCCUGGAGCAUCUACAUGAGUUUGUGAUGUUCAACAGCCUCCGUUAGCCCAUUUUAAUCCUUCAAAUGAUGUAGUGUUCUCACCUGUUAUUUGCAAAGCUGUUUUAAUGUUCUACAUGAGUGUUUCUAUAUUAUAGUGCAUUUCCUAUUUUAAAUUGAGGUUUUAAUGACUUAGAGUUAUAUUGGUAGUGCUGAUAUCUUAUAAUGCUAUAAUAUGUACUCGCAGAAUAUUAAACAUGUUAAUAAAUGAACACUUGCUAGUUCUAAAUGCUUGUGACAUCUUUAGUUCUAGUAACUUAAGGUAGUUGGUGCACUGGUGCUCUUUGUUGCCUUUCCUCCCAUCUCAGUUGGCAAUUUUUCCCCGUGGUAUGUAUUAUUUGCAUAAUAUGUGAUUCCUUUCAUGAAUAUGGAUUCAGUGUUUUAAAAAAUUAUUUUAUGCAGUAAAGAUUAAUUGCUGCAAAUAUGUACAUUAUGCACACCAAUAAAGAGAAAAUGCCUUGAGAUGACUCUGUUUCCCAUUUGCACAAUGUUGAACAAUUUAAAGUCUCCUCAAAUUCCUACUCAGAAGGAAUUGGUGAGGUUUCUUUGAUGCAUGAAUGAACUUGCAUAGAAUACCUUUGAAAAAAGUGCUAUUAAUGGAGGCACAUGAAUGGAAGAAUAGCUUGGAUGACUGGCGUUUCAAAACAUUUGUCCAAGCAUUGUUACGAUUUGUAGUUUAUUAAUGAGGCACCAGCUUUUUCAUUAAAACCAAGGUAAGUGUGCCACUAAAUAGGCAGUCAGUCAAUUGAACUCCCUGAACAAUAUGCAUUAUUCAGGCUUACUUGUCUAAAGAGACUACCUUUAAUGUGCAAAAUAUUUUGUCACUAGAGGGUGCUAGAAUGCAGCUUGGAUUAUAAUAGAACAUUUACAGGGGCUUUAAUUUUUGACCUAAAGUUAAUAUAUAAAUUAGUUCUUGAUCUCUGCACUCAGAAGUUUAGAUAGAACAUUUUUCCCUUCAAGGUAUUUCUUUGACAAUUGGAUUAGUAAUAAUGUUGACAACAUGGUGAGAAGGGAGCUUUUAGAGCAAGCUGAAUAAGGGUAAACCAGCUGGAACCCUAUCUAGAUGGGUCACACCCUGGCAACAGAUAUACAUGUACUUGUUAUGUUCAGAUUUGACUACUGUAAUGAGGUUGACUUGAAGACAAGUUGAAAACUUCAACUGAUGCAAAGGUAGCUGCCUGGUCAGGAUGGCCUGAGCCUUAGGCAAAGUUACCUCAGGCAGCAGAUGCAGGGAGGUGGUAGCAAGGUGUCAGAGGAGAACCCCACACCCCCCAACCUAACUUGCUGCUUUCAAGUGCAAUGGAAGAUCAUCACUGAAGACAAAUUUAUCUACCAGUCCAGUCAGCUUUAGUACAUGGAAUGGGAGGGGUGCCAUCUUGUUCCUCUCCUCAGGCAGCAAAAUUUCUUGAGCUUGCUUAGUGGGCUUCUCUGUUAGUUCAGGUGGGAUAACUACAUCCUGUUUCAGCACUGUCUGCUUCAGUGGCCAUUCUGUCUGGUCAUUAUUAUAAAUACAGUGGUACCUUGGCUCACGAACUUAAUCCAUUCCAGGACUC